rnacentral:rRNA from 1 species
CCUACGGGGGGCUGCAGUAAGGAAUAUUGGUCAAUGGGCGGAAGCCUGAACCAGCCAUGCCGCGUGCAGGAAGACGGCCUACGGGUUGUAAACUGCUUUUGCAGGGGAAUAUGUACUCUGAGAAUAAGGAUCGGCUAACUCCGUGCCAGCAGCCGCGGUAAUACGGAGGAUCCAAGCGUUAUCCGGAUUUAUUGGGUUUAAAGGGUGCGUAGGCGGCUUUUUAAGUCAGGGGUGAAAGACGGUAGCUUAACUAUCGCAGUGCCCUUGAUACUGAAGAGCUUGAAUAUAGUUGAGGUAGGCGGAAUGUGACAAGUAGCGGUGAAAUGCAUAGAUAUGUCACAGAACACCAAUUGCGAAGGCAGCUUACUAACUUGAUUGACGCUGAGGCACGAAAGCGUGGGGAUCAAACAGGAUUAGAUACCCUUGUAGUC